rnacentral:tRNA from 3 species
GAUAAGAUGGCUGAGAAAGUGGUGGGUUGUAGCCCCAAAGACAGAGGUUUGAGCCCUCUUCUUAUCA